AUUGAACGCUGGCGGCAGGCCUAACACAUGCAAGUCGAGCGAGCGGCGGACGGGUGAGUAAUGUAUGGGGACUGCCCGAUCGAGGGGGAUAACUACUGGAAACGGUGGCUAAUACCGCAUACUAUCGGAUAACCCAUAUGGGAUUAGCUAGUAGGUGGGGUAAAGGCUCACCUAGGCGACGAUCUCUAGCUGGUCUGAGAGGAUGAUAAUCCCCACUGGGAAUGUGACACGGCCCAGACUCCUACGGAGGCAGCAGUGGGGAAUAUUGCACAAUGGGCGCAGGCCUGAUGCAGCCAUGCCGCGUAUAUGAAGAAGGUCUUAGGGUUGUAAAGUACUUUCAUCGGGGAGGCGUUACCGACAGAAGAAGCACCGGCUAACUCCGUGCCAGCAGCCGCGGUAAUUC
rnacentral:rRNA from 1 species